rnacentral:rRNA from 1 species
AACCUGCCCCUAAAUCCGGAAUAACAUUGCUAACGCGGUGCUAAUACCGGAUGUGGUCUCCAGUUUGCAUGAACAGGAGAUUAAAGGUGACCUCUACUUGUAAGUUAUCGUUUAGGAAUGGUCUUGCGGACCAUUAGCUUGUUGGCGGGGUAACGGCCCACCAAGGCUGCGAUGGUUAGCCGGCUUAAGAGGGUGAUCGGCCACAUUGGGACUGAGAUACGGCCCAGACUCCUACGGGAGGCAGCAGUAGGGAAUUUUGCGCAAUGGACGAAAGUCUGACGCAGCAACGCCGCGUGAGCGAUGAAGGUUUUCGGAUUGUAAAGCUCUGUUGAGUGGGAAGAAAACUCUCCGGGAUAAUACCCCGGAGACUUGACGGUACCACUCGAGGAAGCCCCGGCUAAAUACGUGCCAGCAGCCGCGGUAAUACGUAUGGGGCAAGCGUUGUUCGGAAUCACUGGGCGUAAAGGGAGUGUAGGCGGAAAGGUAAGUUAGAAGUGUAAUCCACGGGCUUAACCCGUGACUCGCUUUUAAUACUGCUUUUCUUGAGUAUGGGAGAGGGAGAUGGAAUUCCAGGUGUAGCGGUGGAAUGCGUAGAUCUCUGGCAGAACACCAGUAGCGAAGGCGGUCUCCUGGCCCAAUACUGACGCUGAG